UACGUAGGGUGCGAGCGUUGUCCGGAAUUACUGGGCGUAAAGAGCUCGUAGGCGGUUUGUCACGUCUGCUGUGAAAUCCCGAGGCUCAACCUCGGGCCUGCAGUGGGUACGGGCAGACUGGAGUGCGGUAGGGGAGAAUGGAAUUCCUGGUGUAGCGGUGGAACGCGCAGAUACCAGGAGGAACACCGAUGGCGAAGGCAGUUCUCUGGGCCGUAACUGACGCUGAGGAGCGAAAGCGUGGGGAGCGAACAGG
rnacentral:rRNA from 1 species